AAUAAAUAUACGUUUCGUGUAAUCUCCUAUACAUAUAUAAUAUUUUUUUUUUUGUAAGUGUCGCUUAAAUUUAUGCAAUUUUUUUUUUUUUUUUUUUUUGCAUUAUAUUUUAUUAUGUCAUCAUUUCUAGCAUUAAAAACAUAUUUGUUCUAUUGUUUAUUAAUAAAAUUAUAAAACUAUACAAUUUGUAUUAUUAAAAAUAUUUAAAUAAAAAUGUAAUUAAGAAAACAUGAUAUAAUAUAUUAAAUAUAUUAGUAACGGAAGAAAUCAUUACCACAUCUCAAUUUAUAAUAAAAGAAUGUUUACCAUAAAUUAUAAAAUAAUUAUUAUUCCAUUAUUUAUAUGGGCAUGGACUAAUAAUAACAAGACUCGCUUAAAAAAUAUAAUCACGGUGAACUAUAGUAGAUCACUAGUUCAGCGCGAUAUCGUUCCUAACCAACAGAAUGACCAUCCUUAUUUAACAAAAUAUGAUGACAUAUACGAUUGUUCUAAACAUUUUGAACAAUAUAUUAUUAGAGAUCAAGAUCUAAAUGAGAAUAUUUUUAAAUAUGAUGAGCACUUUCCAAAUAAAUUAACUUUUUUAACCGAUAUUUUAAACGAAAUAAUUAAAAUAUUAAUAAAAAAACAGGAUCCUAUAUUAAAGGAUAUACUAAAAAAAAAUAAAAACAUACAAGAUAAAAAUGUACUAGAUGUAUAUGACUUUAUAAAACAUGCCGUUUCAAGUGAAGAAUAUUUACGAAUUGUAAAUGAAAGUUAUGAAUCAUUAAAAAGUAAAAGUUCUGACUUUAAUGACAUUUAUGAAACAUAUUACAACAAUAUAUUACAUUUAUUAAAUACAUAUUUUUAUCUUACCAACAGUAAAAAAAAUUUUAAAAAACGCCUUAUGCAAUUACAACAAGAUGGUCACGAGACACUAAUAAUUAAAAGAAAUAAACCUAAAUUCAAAAUGAAAUAUUUAAAUAUAUUUAAACUCAGUAGUAAAAUAGAUAAAGAAUUUAAAACUAUGUUACUUAAAGAAAUACUAAAAGAAAAAAUUUGUAAAAAUAACAAAAAUACAUAUCAAUAUAAUUUUAAGAUUCUUAUUUAUGCAUUUUAUACUCCAUUAUUAUUAUAUAUAAGUUUAAUUUUUACCCCAUUAUUUAUGCCAUUGUAUGUUAUAUUACCAUUAUCUGUAUUGUUCCUAAUAAUGUAUGCACACUCGGUAUAUAAACUUGAAAGAGACGCAAGAUCCAUAAAACUAAUUGCAAAAGGGACAAAACUAUCAACGAGAAAAAGUUUUAUUUAAUAAUAAACACAAUAAAACAUGUUAUAACA
rnacentral:lncRNA from 1 species